rnacentral:sRNA from 1 species
CCAGAAUUAAGAGAAAAGAAAAGAAUGAUUAGAAAAAGGCUUAAAAGAUUCAUGAAUGCAAAGGGUAGAGUUAAGUUCUUAUAUUGGGAUUGGAGAUGGGAUUACCAUUAGAGCUUCAUUUGAUAUACUCUGGGUAGAUGACAUCUUAUCUUUGUAUGCAUAGCUUGGGACUUACCUUUAGUAGAAUGCUAAAGGUAAGUCCCAAGCUAUGCAUACAGAGAUAAGAUCCCAUCUACCCAAAGUAUAUCAAAUGAAGCUCUAAUGGUAAUCCCAUCUCCAAUCCCAAUAUGUGAACUUAACUCUACCCUUUGCAUUCAUGAAUCUUUUAAGCCCUUUUCUAAUCAUUCUUUUCUUUUCUUUUAACUCUAGGAGAAGCUUUCUCAACACUUUGAUACAUCUAGCAGAUUUGGAUUUCUUUAACAACUAAGGUUCCUGUUUUUAACAUUUUAAAACCGAGGGCUUUUGCCAUCUUCAAUAGCUAACAAGAACUCUUUCUUUUCUUCACAAAUCCCAAAUUUUUCUUCUUCUUUAGCUUACUUCACCUAGAGUCUUUUACCUUUUCUCAUCAAUGAAUCAACCCUUUUUUUUUUUUUUUUAAACACAUCCCAACCCAAAGUAUAAGCGCCCACCUAGUCCUAUAUAGUCCGAAAAAUACGAACUAGAACUACAUGAGACACUAUCUUUGUCGUUACGAACCUAACACUUUCUACCAAGCUAAAUCGGAAUAAGACCUCACAAACACUCACAAGUGAUAUAGGACUUGAAAGAAAGUCUAGGUUUGGGUUUGGGUUAACUGCUCUAAUAAGGAGAGUCAGCUACUUGGAUUAACAAGAGUGAUCAAAAUGAAUAAGAAAAUCCAAGUAUUUUAUGGUAUCCAUGAGUUCAAAUUUGAUGCAGACAUGAUAAUUAAAGAUCAGAUUCAGGUUCAAAUUUAUAGGGAAUGGUAUCAGAUCAUGACCGUGUGGUCGAGUAGAGCAAUCUAGGCAUGGUUCAGUUUAAUUUCAAAUUCAUUGUCUAUGCAACACACAACUAGCAACGAGGGCACUGAGUUUAUCCGGUGAACAAAAAUGCUUACAGGGCUAUCUCAUCAUUAUCCCCUAUGCAUAUGCAACAAUCCUAAAUGAAACACUCUAGACUCGAUCCCAAAUGUAAUGCAACUACAUGAACACUCUUUUUUUUUUUUUGUGAAAUCAUUUUCUGAAAUUUUUCAAAUUUUUUUGGUUUUUCUAUGCCUUAGAUGAAUGCAGACUCAAGAAUAUAUACAAUGCAACACACACUUCGUGAGCCCUCCCCCAAACUUAAAUCACAUAGUCGACUGUGUGAAUAAACUUGGAAGAGAGUACUCAGGACAAAUCCAAUCACAGAAAUAAAAUGAAGAAACAAAUCACAACAGAUGAUAUAAUAUAAUGGUGAAGUGAGGCGCUUACCUUAGUAGAAGAAUGAACGUAGUUGCUCGUCAAUGGCUGCCUGUGAUUGCUCCCAGGCCAUAGAAGAACCGCCCUGUUCUGUAUCAGCUCCAGCAGGUGGGUACUCGACCUCAUCAGCUUUGUGGCGGCCAACACUGCUCUGAGGAUACUCGACCUCUCUUCUUCUACUACGGCCAGCACCGCGGUCGAGUGAUCUCUUGGCGUGGAUAAGCUAAAACAUGGUCGAGUAUUUUUCAUUGCUAUGUGGUCGAGUAUACAGCUGUACACUCAUAGCCAAAAUCCACUUCACUCAGCUCUUUAUACUUAUCUCCUGAAGACACUAAUCAAAUGCAUCAAAAACAACAAGGAAAUAUAAAGAUAUGUACAAAGAUAGACAUGGGAUUUCCUCCCAAGUGUGCUUGUUUUAAGUCUCUAAGCUUGACUUCUCAUACUCAUUAGGCUUAGGGUGCGUUGCAGAGAGAAAAUGAGGUCUCCUCUCCUUCUUGAGUAGAGUGAUCAACAUACUCAUUAGGGUUUCUUGACAGGUCUGCAAUUGGAUACUUAGUGAUCAUGUCCUCAUAGUAAGCUUCUUUUUUAUCAAGAUAGUCUUCUCCUCUAGACCAUUCCAAUGUGAAUUUACAUCCUUCUUUGCUGACCAGAAUAGUGGCUCCAUCCUCAGGGGCGUCCUUGAUGUUGAGUGGUAUUUGGUUGGCUUUUCCAUUGAGCUCCUUGAUUUGAUCCUUCAGCUCUUUUACAAUAUGUUUUAGCUCAUGUAUGGCUUUGUCCUGCCAUUUAGAUCUCUCCUUGAGUUCUAACCAAUCAAUUGACGUCUGAGUGCUUGCCUUGAGUUGUUUGGUCGAGCAUGAGCUUUCAGGACAAGUUGGAGGCUUCUUCGAGUUGUUGGUGGAAUCAGUUGGUCGAGCAUGUGUUGAACUUACUUCAUUAGCUUUCAUAACCUUUGUGUCAGACCCCAUCAAGCCCUUGUAAACCUCUGAGUCAACUGCUGCCUUCUGUGAGUCAAAUGACUUCUUAGAACUCAAAGUUUCACUAGGGAGAUACCCAUCUUUACCAUUCUUGGUCAAAACAGUUUUUGAAUCAUUUGCUUCUUCAAGUUCCACUAGCAGUGCACCAGCUAGCUGAUCCACUUCCUUAAUUAAGAAGGUAUGUUCUUCUAUUGUCGGCUUCUUCAUAGCAUCAUUGAUAUCAAACUUCAUUUCAAAAUUCUUCCCCAGAUUAAGAUCAAUCUUUCCUUGCUUAACAUCUAUGAUUGCUCCAGCUGUAGCCAAAAAGGGCCUUCUUAAUAUCAAGGGAUCUUUUGGUUCUUCAUCCAUGUUUAGCACUACGAAGUCUGUAGGCACCUCCACAUUUCCAAUCUAAUAGGCAAAUCUUCUAAUAACUCAUGAGGUAGUCUAACAGACCUAUCAGCCAAGAUCAAGGAGAUAUUGCAGUAUUUUUAAUACUUGUUAAAACCCAACCUCUUAGCUACUGAGAGUGGCAUGAGAUUUACUGACGCUCCUAGGUCACAAAGGCAUUUAUUGAAAGUCAAUGAACCUAGGGAGUAUGGUAGAGUGAAUGAACCAGGGUCUCCUAGUUUUUCUGAGACAUCGUUCUCAUCUAUGAUGGCACUGCACUCAUGGCUCAUAACUGUUGUUUUCUAAACCUCUUGAAUUCUCUCCAUGAUCAAGUCUUUGAGGAACUUUUGGGAAUCCAGGAUACGCGUUAGAGCAUCAGCGAGACGUAUCCUUAAUUCCACUUCCUUGAUGUUUUUGGCAAACAUAGCUCUGUACUUAUCUUCUAACUCUUUCUUGUGUCGACCAGGAAAUGGAAGUGGGGGCUUGUAAGGAGGAGGAAUGAAGACCUUUUCUUUGUUUUUGACAGCAACUAGUUUUGGAGCAGUUGGUGAUGUUGCUCGGAAGGUCGGUCGAGUAAAGUGGUCGAGUGGCUGCUCGAGUGACUGGUCGAGUGACUGGUUGAGUGGCUGCUCGAGUGACUGGUCGAGUGCCUGCUCGAGUUGUUUGCCAGCUUGAUCUUUAUUGAGACUGAAAUCCUCCCCAUUUUAGUAUGCACUGUCCUCAGUGACUGACUUGGGUCUCUCUCCAGUAGAUAACUCUCUUCCACUUCUUAUGGUGAUAGCAUGAACAUUAGCAUACUCCUUUGGAGUCUGUAUUGACUUUCCAGGAAGUCCUGUAACUUUGGGCGCUGAGGUAGAUGCUGAUUGUCCUUCCAAGUAUCUGACUUUGGUAUUCAAUGCCUCCAGUUUGGCGUUCAGGUCAUUGUAGCUGCAGUCCAGCUUAUGGUGCAAUUCAAAUAACUUCUUAGCAAUUUCCAUGGAGCUAGAUGUUUGUCCCUGUAGCAGCUGUUGUACCAUUUAUUUCAUUUCAGCAUCAUGAGCAGCAGGACCUUGGUUUUGCUGAUGUGCACAUCCAGGUGGUGGUUGUUGCUGGUAGUUCCCUUGAAAUUGCUGCUUGGGAACAAAACCUUGAUUGUAGGGAACAAAAGGUUUGUUCUGACCUUGUUGUUGCUGUGGAGGAUACACUUGGUCUUGUGGAUUAGCAACGUUGGUACUACGGUAGGAGAGGUUGGUGUUGUUGGUCUUGAAGUUGUUAUACCCUUUGUAGCCACCCAGGUUGUUGUUGAUGUAGUUAACUUCUUCUAACUGGUUACCCUCCCCAUCCUGGACCUGAUACUGCUCGUCAUCAACAAGGAAGUACACAUGCUUCUGCUGGCUAAGGAGUAUUCUGUCCAGCUUGUCAUUCCGCGCUUUGAUCUCCUUCAUGUGUUUGUCAUCAGAGUCAGCUGUGCCUAUGACGGUCCUAUCGCAGUCCUCGUUGUAAUUACCAUCUGAUUGAGCAAGGUUCUCAACCAAUUCCCAGCCUUCUUCAACAUCUUUGUUCUGGAAGUUCCCAUUGCUGGCGGUAUCCAGAAGCAUUCUGAUGCGUGGCAAAACGCCUCUAUAAAGAGUGCUGAGCAGAGAGGCUUUAGUGAAGCCAUGAUGAGGGCAUUGGUUGGUAUAACCCUUGAAACGCUCCCAUGCUUCAUAGAAGCUUUCACCAGCCUUCUGUAAAAAAACCAGAGAUCUCAUUUCUGAGUCUUGCAGUUCUGGUGUUUUAGAAGAACUUUGAUAGAAAAGGCUUCUUGCAAUCAUCCCAGGUGGUGAUUGAGUCAUGGGGCAGAUUCUUCUCCCAGAUGUGUGCUUUGUCACCCAAGGAGAAUGAAAAAAAUGGAGCUUGAAUCCGUCUUCACUGACACCAUUGAUUUUUGUUAGGUUGUAGAGCCUAUCAAAUUCAUCAAGGUGGUCGAGUGGAUCCUCCAUUGGCAGACCAUGGAAUUUGUUCCCCUGAAUCAUCGAGAUGAGACCACUCUUAAUCUCGAAGUUGUUGUUCUGGAUAGCAGGAGGUGCAAUUCCUUUCCGCUGACGCUGAUCACGUGGUGCGUCUCCAGCACCAAUGUUGGCAGGGCUAUUUUGUUCAUUCUGUUCGUCGGCCAUUUCGAGUGAUUGUUGUGGUAUUAGGUUGACUGUGUUUCUCCUUUCUCUGAGUUCGUGAGCUAUGCGGUCGAUGUUGUCGUUGAAAAGGAGGUUCUGAUUGCCUGUUGAUCGAGUUUGCAUACAGCAGAGGUGUACCUGGAUCAAGAAGACAACAAGAAAAAUACACAGUUAGCAACCAAAUUGAAAAUUGAAAAAGAACUUGAUCUAAGCAAGUAUGAAAUCUCAAAUGUAACAAACAAACACCCAAUUGGCAACGACGCCAAAUUGAUAAUAGGUUUUUAAGAUCAAUUAAUCCUAAAACACUAUCAUGUCGUUGUAGUACUGAAGGUUGUCAAUCCAAAUGGGUGUGAUGCUAACAAUCAAGAUGUGAUCAGAAGUCACUAAGUCAAGCCAAGCAAUAACAGGUUUUGGUGUGUUCUAGCAGUCCUAAGUGAACAUGCAGAAAACAGAAAAUCAAACAGAUGCAGUAAAACACUCGACCAACACAGCUCUUUGCAGAGAAGUGGGUGAGGUCGAGUGACAGGUCGAGUAACAGACAGAAAAUAUAUGGAAUGAAUGGGAAUGAGAAUGAGAAUGAAAGAAAAAAAAA